rnacentral:pre_miRNA from 1 species
UCUUAUGAAUGAGCAAAGAAAGUGAUUUCUUAAAGUGAAAUCUACUCCUGGUGAAAAUGCUAUGAA